UACGAAGGGUGCAAGCGUUACUCGGAAUUACUGGGCGUAAAGCGUGAGUAGGUGGUUUCUUAAGUCUGCUGUGAAAGCCCCGGGCUCAACCUGGGAAUUGCAGUGGAUACUGGCAAGCUAGAGUGCGAUAGAGGGGUGUGGAAUUCCCGGUGUAGCGGUGAAAUGCGUAGAGAUCGGGAGGAACACCAGUGGCGAAGGCGGCACCCUGGAUCAGCACUGACACUCAGGCACGAAAGCGUGGGGAGCAAACAGG
rnacentral:rRNA from 1 species